CCUACGGGAGGCAGCAGUGGGGAAUAUUGGACAAUGGGGGGAACCCUGAUCCAGCGACGCCGCGUGAGUGAAGAAGUAUUUCGGUAUGUUAAGCUCUAUCAGCAGGGAAGAAAAUGACGGUACCUGACUAAGAAGCCCCGGCUAACUACGUGCCAGCAGCCGCGGUAAUACGUAGGGGGCAAGCGUUAUCCGGAUUUACGGGGUGUAAAGGGAGCGUAGACGGUGCAGCAAGUCUGAUGUGAAAGGUCGGGGCCCAACCCCGGGACUGCAUUGGAAACUGUUGAACUGGAGUACAGGAGAGGUAAGCGGAAUUCCUAGUGUAGCGGUGAAAUGCGUAGAUAUUAGGAGGAACACCAGUGGCGAAGGCAGCCUGCCGCAGCGUUACUGACGCUGAAGCUCGAAAGCGCGGGUAUCGAACAGGAUUAGAUACCCGGGUAGUC
rnacentral:rRNA from 1 species